GACGAACCGAGCGAACGUUGUUCGGAAUCACUGGGCUUAAAGGGCGCGUAGGCGGGCUGCCGCGUCCGGGGUGAAAUCCUCCGGCUCAACCGGGGAAGGGCCUCGGAUACGGGCGGCCUCGAGGGGGGUAGGGGCGUGCGGAACUGUGGGUGGAGCGGUGAAAUGCGUUGAGAUCCACAGGAACUCCGGUGGCGAAGGCGGCACGCUGGACCCCUUCUGACGCUGAGGCGCGAAAGCCAGGGGAGCGAACGGG
rnacentral:rRNA from 1 species